rnacentral:tRNA from 1 species
UACUUGGUAGUUACAGGUAUUGUAACUGUCAGUCUCAUAACCUGAAGGUCGCAGGUUCAAAUCCUGCCCCCGCAACCA